GAUGAACGCUGGCGGCGUGCCUAAUACAUGCAAGUCGAGCGAACGGACGAGAAGCUUGCUUCUCUGAUGUUAGCGGCGGACGGGUGAGUAACACGUGGAUAACCUACCUAUAAGACUGGGAUAACUUCGGGAAACCGGAGCUAAUACCGGAUAAUAUUUUGAACCGCAUGGUUCAAAAGUAAAAGACGGUCUUACUGUCACUUAUAGAUGGAUCCGCGCUGCAUUAGCUAGUUGGUAAGGUAACGGCUUACCAAGGCAACGAUGCAUAGCCGACCUGAGAGGGUGAUCGGCCACACUGGAACUGAGACACGGUCCAGACUCCUACGGGAGGCAGCAGUAGGGAAUCUUCCGCAAUGGGUGAAAGCCUGACGGAGCAACGCCGCGUGAGUGAUGAAGGUCUUCGGAUCGUAAAACUCUGUUAUUAGGGAAGAACAUAUGUGUAAGUAACUGUGCACAUCUUGACGGUACCUAAUCAGAAAGCCACGGCUAACUACGUG
rnacentral:rRNA from 1 species